rnacentral:rRNA from 1 species
UACGUAGGGGGCUAGCGUUGUCCGGAAUCAUUGGGCGUAAAGAGCGUGUAGGCGGUCCGGUAAGUCCGCUGUGAAAGUCGGGGGCUCAACCCUCGAAUGCCGGUGGAUACUGUCGGGCUAGAGUGCGGAAGAGGCGAGUGGAACUGCGAGUGUAGAGGUGAAAUUCGUAGAUAUUCGCAAGAACACCAGUGGCGAAGGCGGCUCACUGGCCCGGAACUGACGCUGAGGCGCGAAAGCGUGGGGAGCGAACAGG